UUCGAAAGACAGUGUGCGCUUCCUGAAACAGCUAUUCUCUUGAGUCAACUGUCAACAAUGGGCUUGGACAAGAGAUGUGGGUUGCUUUUUGCUCCUGUUGGCUGUUAGCCUGUUAGAACAUGCAGAUACAUCAGCAGAAGGAAGAGGUAGCGAAACCGAGAAUCAAAUGGAAUGAUGCCAAAAGUACGGGUGCCCAGGAGACUUUGCCGCCUUUGAGACACACAGUGAUCAACAAAAGUAGCUUGCUGCUGAGGUAGAAAAUGCGAUAUCCAAAUAGGAAAGCUGUUGUCAUCAACAAAACCACGGGCAAAACAGUGCAACAUUUUAGGAACCAGAAGCUUCCCUUUUCGACUCACUCCUACUGAUGCUCUAAUGAAAUCACGCUGUGCAUCUUGAAGUUCUUCCCUCACAUUGUUUGCUGUGUAUAUCUUCACCUACAGUGAUAAUUAGUACUUAGUCAACCAUAAAAUCUAUGCACUACAAAUAAUCAUGAAGGCCUUUAAAGCGUGUCAAUUAGUUUGUUAAAAACAUAGUGCUAAUCUCGGUGUUAGAUGAAGGAAGCAGUGGAAGGAAUGAUCUGAGCUUACCGCAGGAGAAGAAUACAUUCCACAGCUGAGAGCAAACGUCAAAAGUGGUUCAUGGGCCCCAAUGCAGAACUUUUUCUGCUCCUCAGGUACCUUCAUCUUCUGAAGGGCAAGAAGCAGAGCCUUAAACAAAAGACGGAAGUAAUUAUCAACAGUUUGCGUUGACGAACAGAAGCCUGGAGAAAAAACGAGGUACAACAAUAUGAUUCUUCGGAAAGAAAAGCAUGUUCCACAAGAAGCAUCAGUAAUGUGGAAAUGUUGAAUUGUUGGCAUGUUAUUUACUUAAAGUACCAAUUAAGUAGGAACAAAUUUAAUGUACAAUAAUUAGGUAAUUUUAGCAAACCUUUUGCAUCAGUGAAAACAAUUUCAUGUCACUUCGUGGAACACCAUAAGCAAGAUAAGCCUGUAAACGAAAGAAACAAGGUCACUGAUGUUCAGCACGAAAGGUUCUCCCACCCAUAAAAAAAAUAAAUUAAAUUACAUUCAACUACCAAUGAUAACCAGAAAAGCUAUAGAAUUAAUGGAAGUUUACAAAAUCACGUACAUGCAUCAUCAACGCAUUGUAUAGAUUGAUCCAAAAUGCCAAUCUUGCAUCAUCAUCGAGGUGAAUAGGGUUUAUUUCUGCCAACUGCUCAAUGAACAACCUGCACUCUAAUCGGUCAUCAUUAGUACUGUUGUGUUAACCCAAAUAUCAUGAAUGAACAAACACGUGCUCAUUUUUAAUGGCAUUGAAAAAAAAAAAGGUAAUGGGCAGUACUAAAAGAAGACAACGUACUGAAUCGUUGAGCUAAAUCCAGUGAAUUGUAGUAUGAUUUGGUACGCCAGUUGUCAGAAUUUAAAUCGGUAAGAAAUAAUUGUAAGCUCCGGAUAGAACAAAGACUG